rnacentral:rRNA from 1 species
UACGUAGGUGGCAAGCGUCAUCCGGAAUUAUUGGGCGUAAAGCGCGCGUAGGCGGUUUUUUAAGUUGAUGUGAAAGCCCCGGCUCAACCGUGGAGGGUCAUUGGAACUGGAAAACUUGAGUGCAGAAGAGGAAAGUGGAACUCCAUGUGUAGCGGUGAAAUGCGCAGAGAUAUGGAGGAACACCAGUGGCGAAGGCGACUUUCUGGUCUGUAACUGACGCUGAUGUGCGAAAGCGUGGGGAUCAGACA